rnacentral:rRNA from 1 species
AGGGCCGCGGUAUUUUGACCGUGCGAAGGUAGCAUAAUCAGUAGUCCUUUAAUUGGGGGCUGGAAUGAAUGGUCGAAUGAGAUAUAAUCUGUCUUUAUUUUAUGAUUUAAUUUAACUUUUAAGUGAAAAGGCUUAAAUAUUUAGAGGGACGAUAAGACCCUAUAAAACUUAAUAUAGAUUUUGAAAUUUUUUAUAAAUUUGGUUUAAAAUAGAUUUUUCAGGUUUAUAUUUUAUUGGGGCGAUAGAAAUAUAAUUGUAACUGUUUAAUAAAUUUUAUACAUAUAAGUAUGUUUUGAUCCUUUAGUAGAGAUUAAAAGAUGAAGUUACUUUAGGGAUAACAGCGUAAUUUCUUUUGAGAGUUCAUAUCGACAAAGAUUCUUGCGACCUCGAUGUUGAAUUAAAAUGUUUGGUUAGGUGUAGUUGUUUAACAAAUAGGUCUGUUCGACCUUUAAAAUUUU